CGGAAGGAUUGGCCAGGAACUCCAUUAUCUCAGCAACAAGGAAUGAGAAAUGAAAUUAAAACCCCCAAAACAAGGUGUCGGCUGAGGUUUUGGUGGAAACAUAAUAUGGAUGGAGCCUAUGCAUGAAGUACUGGGAUCACUUUGGCCAUUGUGGGUCUCCUGUACAGUCAACAUGAAGAAGCUUCAGUGCAUCACUGAGACAGUCUUGCAUCUUUUUUUUUUUUAAUCCAACCAAAAUGUUGAAUAAGCUGGUAAAGCAUCUGCUGUGAUUUUAGAAAUCCUCAAAAGUAAUUUCCAUUCAACAUGCUGUGCGUCUGCCUCCAAGCUUUUGCCAUGGUUGUUGUGUCUGGCUGGUGACGAGCUGCUCUUGUUGUGACUCUUUUACUUCCCAGUAUUAUUUAUUUUGUAUGUUACUGAUGUGUUUUG